CUAAUUUUCUUGAAAAUGUUGAAAAUGUAUUUGAAUGUAUAAUUUUGUGAAAUAACGAAAAGGACGUAAUUUACAAAUUUUCAUUGGCACUUACAACCCACGUAAAUUUACAAAAUGUUUUCGAAAUAUGCAUAAAUAUGCCUUACUGCGUUAGUAACGCAGUAGAAAUAUAGUUGGAAAUACUGAAAAAUCAGUUAUUAAUCGCACAUAACGUGUAAAAUAUUACUUGUAUCUUGCAUCAUUUUACUUUUACUAAAAUAGUAGUACAUAUUUCUCAAGUUUGAUUUUAUUAAAAUAUUUUGACUCAUCUGGAGGCAUGCAUCUUUAAGACCACCUCAUAGCUAUUUUAUUUUAUUUUGUGUUACGAAAUAAUAAAUUGGAUUUUCUACGUUUUAAUCACAGAGUUAAAGCGUGACCAACCAGAUAUCAAAAUUGUAAAAGGACAUUUGGACAAGGCUGUUGCUGAUGUUAUAGUGAAUACUGUUUCUCCGGAUUUGAACCUUCGUUAUGGUAGAGUAUCUGCAGCACUCGUUAAAGCUGCUGGCCAGAGACUUCAGGAUGAAUGUAAAAAAGCGUUCCCUCAAGGAAUAAGCCACGAUGAUAUUGUUGCUACAGGUGGUUACGCACUGAAUUGCAAGAACGUUUUUCACAUCACUCUCCAGCGAGAUAUAUCACUGGAUGGUGUUUUAAAUAGUAUACGGAAUGCUAUGAUGCUUUGUUUAAGAACGGCAUUCGAAUACAACUCUAAAUCGAUAGCAUUUCCAGCAAUGGGUACAGGUUCGCUUAGAUAUCCAAUUAAAGAAGUGGCUUCUGAAAUGGUAAUGGCAAUGGAAAGGUUUACACAGCAAUACAUUAAAGCAGUUCCAAUAAAAGAAGUACUGAUUGUGAUACAUC